rnacentral:rRNA from 1 species
CUUAGUGGCGGACGGGUGAGUAACGCGUGGGUAACCUGCCUCACACUGGGGGAUAACAGUUAGAAAUAGCUGCUAAUACCGCAUAAGCGCACGGUUCCGCAUGGAACAGUGUGAAAAACUCCGGUGGUGUGAGAUGGACCCGCGUCUGAUUAGCCAGUUGGCGGGGUAACGGCCCACCAAAGCGACGAUCAGUAGCCGGCCUGAGAGGGUGAACGGCCACAUUGGGACUGAGACACGGUCCAAACUCCUACGGGAGGCAGCAUG